AAGAGAGAAGAGAGACUGAAACAGGGAGAAGAGGCAGGAGAGGAGGAGGUGGGGAGAGCACGAAGCUGGAGGCCGACACUGAGGGAGGGCGGGAGGAGGUGAAGAAGGAGAGAGGGGAGAAGAGGCAGGAGCUGGAAAGGAGAGAGGGAGGAGGAGGAGGAGAUGCGGGAUGGAGACCUGGAGUUAGGUGGCUUGGGAGAGCUUAAUGAAAAGAGAACGGAGAGGAGGUGUGGGUUAGGAACCAAGAGGUAGCCCUGGGGGCAGCAGAAGGCUGAGAGGAGUAGGAAGAUCAGGAGCUAGAGGGAGACUGGAGGGUUCCGGGAAAAGAGCAGAGGAAAGAGGAAAGACACAGAGAGACGGGAGAGAGAAGAAGAGUGGGUUUGAAGGGCGGAUCUCAGUCCCUGGCUGCUUUGGCAUUUGGGGAACUGGGACUCCCUGUGGGGAGGAGAGGAAAGCUGGAAGUCCUGGAGGGACAGGGUCCCAGAAGGAGGGGACAGAGGAGCUGAGAGAGGGGGGCAGGGCGUUGGGCAGGGGUCCCUCGGAGGCCUCCUGGGGAUGGGGGCUGCAGCUCGUCUGAGCGCCCCUCGAGCGCUGGUACUCUGGGCUGCACUGGGGGCAGCAGCUCACAUCGGACCAGCACCUGACCCCGAGGACUGGUGGAGCUACAAGGAUAAUCUCCAGGGAAACUUCGUGCCAGGGCCUCCUUUCUGGGGCCUGGUGAAUGCAGCGUGGAGUCUGUGUGCUGUGGGGAAGCGGCAGAGCCCCGUGGAUGUGGAGCUGAAGAGGGUUCUUUAUGACCCCUUUCUGCCCCCAUUAAGGCUCAGCACUGGAGGAGAGAAGCUCCGGGGAACCUUGUACAACACCGGCCGACAUGUCUCCUUCCUGCCUGCACCCCGACCUGUGGUCAAUGUGUCUGGAGGUCCCCUCCUUUACAGCCACCGACUCAGUGAACUGCGGCUGCUGUUUGGAGCUCGCGACGGAGCCGGCUCGGAACAUCAGAUCAACCACCAGGGCUUCUCUGCUGAGGUGCAGCUCAUUCACUUCAACCAGGAACUCUACGGGAAUUUCAGCGCUGCCUCCCGCGGCCCCAAUGGCCUGGCCAUUCUCAGCCUCUUUGUCAACGUUGCCAGUACCUCUAACCCAUUCCUCAGUCGCCUCCUUAACCGCGACACCAUCACUCGCAUCUCCUACAAGAAUGAUGCCUACUUUCUUCAAGACCUGAGCCUGGAGCUCCUGUUCCCUGAAUCCUUCGGCUUCAUCACCUAUCAGGGCUCUCUCAGCACCCCGCCCUGCUCCGAGACUGUCACCUGGAUCCUCAUUGACCGGGCCCUCAAUAUCACCUCCCUUCAGAUGCACUCCCUGAGACUCCUGAGCCAGAAUCCUCCAUCUCAGAUCUUCCAGAGCCUCAGCGGUAACAGCCGGCCCCUGCAGCCCUUGGCCCACAGGGCACUGAGGGGCAACAGGGACCCCCGGCACCCCGAGAGGCGCUGCCGAGGCCCCAACUACCGCCUGCAUGGUAUGGUCCAGUCUGCACCCCCUCUAAGUCUUGGGCUAACCCUCUUAUAUGUGUCUCCCCUUGGUGUCUCAGUGUGAUUCAGUCCCAUCCUCCUUCCUGCGUCUAUAUGGUCUAGCCUCGUGAGCUGUCUCUUUUUCUCUCUUUCCCUACAUGUCUAUGUGGUACAGUCCACCUGCCAGCCCUAGGCCAUUGCUAGCCCACGAUUUGUCUUUCCUCUUCACUGCUUUGUAACUUGGUCUAUAACCCUUGACCCCUGCCUUCCUAUGGUCCAAUUACCUACUGUUCUGUGCUUCCUAUUACUGUGAAUUUCCAAAAUGGUACAAUUUGGAUCCUCUCUCCCUUUCCAAGUCGUACUACCUUACGCUGUUCCACAAUCUGAUGCUCCCUUCCCCCUUACUGAGAAUCUACAAGGUACAACCCCUUCCCUCCACCUCUGCCUCCCUGUGGUUUAGCCCAGGAAUCUCACACACCCCCGGCUUCGCAACAUGGUACAGUCCACACCCCCCCCCCCCCAUGAAGACCUUCAAGUAGUUCAGCCUACUGCUGAAUCUGGACGUCCCGAUUCCCCCCUCCUAUUGGCUUCUUGUGGUUCAGCCCAGUGCUUCUCGACCUAGUACAUUCUGGUUCCCCGCUCGCAGACUUCCGACGUGGAUGGUGUCCCCCAUGGUCGCUGAGACUCCCCUUCGAGGAUUGCACCCGCCCGUCCUAAGCCUCCCCACAAGGCGAGGGGAGUUACCCCUAAAACAAAGCUAUUAAAGGGACAGAAUACUUCCUGUUUUCUCAGUGGUCUGAUUCUAGGCGCGGUGGGGAAACAUUUGGGUAUUAAAGAACAGACUUCUUCCGGAAA